UAUGGAGAGUUUGAUCCUGGCUCAGGAUGAACGCUGGCGGUAUGCUUAACACAUGCAAGUCGAACGGUGUCUUCGGACAUAGUGGCGGACGGGUGAGUAACGCGUGAGAAUCUGCCUUCAGGAUGGGG
rnacentral:rRNA from 1 species